rnacentral:misc_RNA from 1 species
GAACUGCGAUAAGUAAUGUGAAUUGCAGAAUUCAGUGAGUCAUCGAGUCUUUGAACGCACAUUGCGCCCCCUGGCAUUCCGGGGGGCAUGCCUGUCCGAGCGUCAUUGCUGCCCUUCAAGCCCGGCUUGUGUGUUGGGUCGUCGUCCCCUCCGGGGGACGGGCCCGAAAGGCAGCGGCGGCACCGCGUCCGGUCCUCGAGCGUAUGGGGCUUUGUCACCCGCUCGAUAAGGACCGGCCGGGCGCCAGCCGGCGUCUCCAACCUUUUUUUCUCAGGUUGACCUCGGAUCAGGUAGGGAUACCCGCUGAACUUAAGC